rnacentral:lncRNA from 1 species
AUGAUAUGGCAGGUGCUGAUGACUUUGUGUCACCUCCACAGGAGCCAGCUGAGUUUUCCAUGCACAAGUCUACCUCUUGGUAAACACAUCAGUACAUAUGCGGUGCAGGCUGCCUCUCAAAGUGCAGGAAAAAUAAGCAGAGAAAUUUAUAAACUAAAAAAAAAGGAUCUCCCUAGCAGUCCAGCCCAGCUGUCCACUGCCAAUCAGCAGCAAAUCUCCCUCUCUACCCACAAACACAGGAGCUGAGUGAAACUUCUGGUUUGGCAUCUAAAAAUACCAGCACAAGAGACGAUUAUUAGAAGUGUUCUGGUAGAGUGCUUUCAACAGCAAAGCCUGCUGGCCUCUCACCUUGCUGAGGAGAAGAUGAGGAUCCAAGGAGGAGC